rnacentral:misc_RNA from 1 species
AAUAUCUUCCAUGUCCAAUUUCAGCAUUGCAACCGGCACAGACCCUAUACCCAUACGGAAACGAGUAUGAGAGUGAGGGAAAGGGACUUCCAUAAUCAUAUCGAGGUGGUGGUGGUGGUGGAGACGACUCCACAUUCAAACUUUCCUGAAGGGCCUUGGCGAGAGCCUCGUCUUCCUCCAAAUGGGGUUCACUCUCAAUUACUUUUUUCCCCUUCUGAUCCUCUUCUGCUAGAGAAAGUGCAAUGGCACGAUCAAUUUCUUCUUUAUCAAAAUCUGACGAUUCAUCCACUGAUGUAGUUGGUCCGUCCCAAGUAGUACUGUCCUGAUACCCUCCAUGAUAUUGUUCUCCUUCAUGCCCCGAAUGAUAUUGCCCUCCAUCGUAGCCCCCAUGAUAUUGCGCACCCUCAUACCCACUAUGGUAUUGUCCACCGGAGAUCCUGUGUGUGGAACCUCCAAAUAUCUUUUCUAACCAACCCAUAACACAAUUUCCUGUCCCUGGUGUACAACAACUACGCCUCAAUCCCAAACAAGUUGAAGUUGGCUAUAUGAAUCCAAAACUGGUAAGCAAUAAACACCAAGAACCGGAGAUGACACUAAAGAUACCCAUAUCCCCACCAUUCUAAACAAGAAUAAAAACUUGUCAAAAUUACAAAA